UGAAUCCAAGUCAUUAAAAAAAAAUAAUAAUAAACAAAUAACAAAAAUGAAACCUUUCGUACAAAAUAAUGUGAUAGAGUAAAAUAUAUAAAUUUGUAUAUGAGUGAAAAUAAUAUCAAAAUAAAAAUAUAAAAUUGUCUUAUUAAUCCCAUUUUUUUAGUAUAAGAUUAGAAAAAGAAAAAAAAAUGGUAUCAUAAUGAAUAAUAAAUUUUAAUUACAAUUGAAUAUUUUUAAUGUAAUCUUAUGAAGACAAUUUUAGAUUGUUUUAUAAGAUUGAAGGGAAGUUUAGAAUAUCAUUCAAACGGUAUUUUUAUCAUAUAUUAUUGUAUACUAAAAUUAUAUUUAAGAAUGAAAAUAAAUUAUAUUAUUAGAAUAUCUUUUUGGUAUUUAUGGAAUAUGAUUCAAAUCGAUGAAAAUAUAUAUACUAAAAUCUAGUUGUUAAAUAAUAAUAUAAGUAUAUGAGAUCACAUUAAUAAAUGAGAUCAAUUAACGUACAAAUAAAUAAAAUCGAGUAUGGACAAAUACAACAAGGUAAAACAACAGGAUUAUUAAAUGUGGGUAUAAAGCAUGACAUAUGUGACAUUUACAUAUUGGUUAUAGAAAUGUUAAUUCAAAAUUUUAAAUAAAAAUUAAAAUAUUUUGAACUAAUCUAUCAAAAUAUCUCAAAUUCUUUUAGAAUUAAAAGAAAAUUAAAUAAAUAAAAGGGGCUUACAAAAUCUUAUCCAACAAUUCUCUGAAUCCAUGGUUUAAGGAAUCGCCCAUUAUGAAAUUUUUCAGCACACUUGGCAUACUGUACACAGCAGGGACCACGAAAACGGCGUCGUUUUCGAGGAGUGGAAGUUGGAAACAAGCAAAUCCAAUCCUGAGAAGCGAAGUGGACUUCCCGGCCGAAUCAGUCCCCACACCCAGCACUCGGUCGUUGAGGCCAGAAAAUUUAUGAGAACUCUCGCGAAAUUUUAGGAAAUUUCUCGGCAGCCAUUCAAAAUAUUGGUGGCCUCAGUCAUGACAGGCAUUAGAUUUUUUGUUACUCUUUCUUCUAUUCUCGAUCACGAAGAUUUCAUUGUUGCUCCUAACCCCUAACCAGGUGAGUCCCUUUUCUUCUCUUUGGAAAAAAAGACCUGUUUGGUCGCCGAUAAAAUAGGAGAAAUAAAAGAGCAAAUCACGAUUUGGGUCUUGAUUUUUACGCUGUUUUAGUAUGUAAAACACAAUGUCUGAGUGGUCAUCAAUUUCCUUGCUUUUUGCUCCUUUUUUGUUCUCGGUAACCAAACAGAUCAUGACUGUGCCAGCAAUAACCUUUGUUCUUAGGCUUUGAAAUCAUUAAAUAAUAUCUGGGUUCUCCUUGUUUGGCUUGGUUUUGAAGGUAAUUGUAUAAUGUUUCAACCAUGUUGACGGUACAUGCUCUGAGAGUGAUUUCAAUUGUGGAAAGCAAUGCACUGAAUGAGGCCUCUCCGUCCAUGAUUACAUAUAUUAAGCCCUUAUUUAAUACUGUAAUUUCUCCCAUCAAUUUUUCGGGUUCUUGUAGCAAAAGAUUGUGUUAUUCCUCUCUUUCUUGGAGAGACCAUAAUCGCCUUAACACCCAUCACCUAUCUCACCAAGUAUGUUCAAAGAAAUGGCUGGUAAGAACUAAGAAGCCCUAUUUGUAUUUUUUUCUUUCUCCUGGUAUUUUCAGUUAACUUUGGAUUUCUAAUUGGUGUCCAAACUUCAAUGUGUUCUCUUGCUGUAACUGUUAUAGUGCCGGAUGCAUGAUUCAAUUUCAUCUGAGGAUGAGUAUCGAUCAUCACGCAAUAUAGCAAUCAGCUUGUUUAGGCGAUACAGGAAUGUUGUUGACAGAGGAGGAGGUGACAACCUAAAAGUAUAUUUGAUCUGUUACUGCAUAGAAUUUUUUGUUUCUUGAAUCUUUUAGGCAUUCUCUGUUAACUCAUUUGGUUGCUGAUGCUCAGGAGUUCAUCAGUGCUGGGGUGAAUGCGUAUGCAUUGGGGUGCACUGAUGAAGGAUUAAGGAAAGAACUAACAGAGAUGAAGGAAUCUGGUUUUGAAAUUGAAACAAUGCAGAGUUAUGGUGGCAGCACUAGUUUGAAGUCCAAGAUUUUCUCCGAAGAGGUUAGUCACUCUUACGUAGCUGAACAAUUCGAUAAAUUCAAGUUUCAUACAUGGUGACUUGGUAAUAUUGGUUAGGUUUAUCAGAUUGUGAAGUAUCCUUCAAAAACAGUGGGAGCAAUUUUUUUUUUUUUUUCUAUUGGAAAAAACAGUAGGAGCCAAGGGGUGAGGAACAUUUCUAUAUAGACGAAUAAAUCUAUAUACAAACAUUUUUAGUAUAUACCAAAAAGACAAGGGCCCCUUGAAACAGAGUUUUUGACUGAUGUUCAAAUUCCUCUUGUUUCUGGAUUUCUUUUGUGAUUGUACACAAUCAAUGCUUCUGAUCUUCAAAGUUUCAGUCAUUUUGGUAUUGCUUAAUCGGAAGGGUUAUAUAUUACAAUUUGGCAAUGGAAACUGUACUCUUUCUGAUAUUAGGCAUUACCUACAUGAUUAUCGAUGGCCAUGAAAUUUUGCUGAAUGGAUUAGAAUUUGUAAUCCAAUUUUCUCAAUUUCACAAUGCAGAUUGAUGAGUGUAUUCUUUGGUUGAGCAUUAUAUUCAUCACCAUCUUGUGUACACCACAACCAACUAUAGUUAGAUGGUCAUCUACACCUUCUGUGUCAGAUGAAAUAAGGCUGCAGUGGAAAGGCUUUUGUGCUCUCAUAGCAAAUGCAUAUUAUGUGAAAGGAAUGGCAUGGUGAGUUUCUGUCAAAACUCUCAAAUCGAGCAGUGUGCACAACUAUAACAUCUCUGUGGAUGCAAAUUUUAUUCAUGUUUACUCAUUGAACCAAGUAUGAGUUGAGUACUUGUGAAUUAGACAUCAUUAUAACUUUAAGGACUUGCAUCAUUGUUCGCACUUGGGGUCAAAGAAUUUGAAACUUGUUUUUGUUUCUAAGGUUGUGAUUCCUGUUAUAUGAAAGAUCACUUGACUCAUCUUUGAAGCACACAAUUAUUACCCCAUGCCUGGAAAAACUCCGUUUAGUUUCACUUGACCCCUCCAAUGCAGCUCUUAGCAGAAUUGAAGGAAGUUGAAAUUUCCAAGCUGUAAAAAAUUGCUUAUGGAGACUCACCCAUCUGCUUUCUACUUUCAUGUGCUUACCACAGGCUUCCAGUAAAGACUCUUCAACUGGAGCAGAUGGCAGUGGUGGGAAAUGCCGAGGAACCAUCUGUUGUUGCUAGUAGAAUGCGAUUAGUGUUUAGCACACUUGAGGUUAGUUGAGCUUUCUUACAUUUUUAAUGAUUCAUGGCACAGAUAGCAUAUGAUCAAGAUGAACUUGAGCUACAGAGGAACAAUGAGAACAUAGGGCCCGUCUGCCAUUUUUCUAUUUCUGAUUGAUCAAUUUUUUGUUUUAUAUAUUACAAAGUAAGCUUUGUAGAGGAAUACGAACCCAAUGUCCAUGUGCGCAGUGCGCCCCCCAAGGAGUGGGUUGUAGUUAGAGAGAGCAUAUUUGAGUUUGUAGGGCUUGAAGAUAUGGGAACACAGGUUUCUUUUUGAACUUAGGUUUAAGAUACAUCUGAUUAAUUUGUUUCCAUGUGCAGGUAGUGAGUCCACAGUGGCCAAGAGUCUAAUCCUGUGAUUCAAUAUGAAGGAUUUUCCUUGGAUCUCGGGUUUGGCGAACCAAUGAUUGUAAAUUAGUGUAGCAUAAGAUCAAGCAACGCUGAAAUUUUUUGUGAAAAUCCCUUCAUAAUACAUGUGGAUGUUUGUUAAUAUUUGGAUGAUAAGUUUCUUCCCAUUUGCAAUAAUCAGGGCUCAAUCCCAGUUUUAACACGGAUGAUGCAAAUAUCAUAUAUUCACCGCCUGUUGAGGUGCAAGUUAUCUUUGCAGAUGCCCUUCUCAUUUGUUCGUGUUUUUACUUUUUAGUGUUAAAUUCCCAGUUUUAUGUUGCUCCUCCAUUUUCUUCCUUCUGUUUUUCCUCUUCUUUUGCUCCCCAAAAGCUACCAAGUUAGCAACAGAAAAUAUAAUAACUCAGAGAAAAGGAUGGUAUGGUAAGGAAUGAACUAAUAUUACUCAUAUUCAUCUGCUUUGUUUCUCUAAUACAUUUGGAUAAGUAAAGAAAUUAGACAAGCCAAAAUUGCAAGUGAGUCGUAUAUAAGGAACUCCUUCACAGCUGAGCGGGACCAAUGAGAGCAGCAGCAUCUUUCAGCUUCUUCCGUGCCCGCCAAUGGACAGCAGCUGCUGUUUCUGAUGUACCCAUCUGUAGAUUGUUGAGAAAUUUCAGCCAAAUAUGAUGUUGAAGAUGAGUUCAACAUCCAACAUAUCAUGGAAAGCAUAAAUAAUGAGCGUUAGAACAAACGCAAAUUUGUAACUAAUGGGGACAAUGAAACCAAGGCCUUUUGGCAAAGUUUUUUAAAACAGUUCUCAAAAAAGAAUUUAAAAUGAUUUUUUUGUAAGAUUAGUUUUCAAUUGUUUUAAAAAAUAAACUUAUAUUUGAGACUCAAAUUUUGUAUUUAACCAGUUGGGGCUGUUGUCCUUAGGACAAGUUCACUGCGUUUUAGAUUUGUUUCAUUAUAAAGGUUCAAAAGGCAUAAUCCAUUUUGACGAAUUUUAUUUUUCUGGAGGUAAAGCAGAUAAAAGUUUUACCUUAAUCUCCAUAGAAUAAUAAUCUUGCCACAGGUUGAUAUCUUGGUCAUAAGUCGUAAGCGCCGAUUCAAAUAACUUCCUGGCAUUUACGAGGCAAUCUUUAUCAUUGAUUGCUGCAAGGUUCAAUUCCAACUCAAUGCAAAUUUUAUACAUUGGAAGACCUGGCCGAGGUAAAGCAAGAAACCUGCACUUGAAACAGGAUAGAAUAUAAGCAACUUCCAAAUAGGACUAAGUACAGCUAUUAAGAGUAACGAUGCUUUCACUAGUUUAGCAUAUCAGUGCACUAUUUCUUUCUGAAAAAACCAAUGGCUUAUGAUCUAUUAUCAAUAAAAACAGUGCAAUUAGUCUAUCAAAAAUAAAAUAAAAACAGUGCAAUUAUGGCUUUGAUGAAAUCCUUUAAACAUACCGCUUAUACAUCUCUCUUGCAGACUGAAUUCCAUCCUUCUGAAGAACGAAGUUUACAAUAGCAGAAGAGAGGCAGAAUCCAUUUUCACUGCCACCAUCUUUAGCCAAUGAAACCAGGGAUAUAUCCACAAGCUUGUCAAAAAAAUGCUUGUGAUUUGAGAAGAAUUUGAGGGCCUGCAAUAACAAAUUUCUAUUGUUUAGAUGGUCUUUAGUACAAAGGUGACUGACUAAUAUUGGGGAGGGAGGGGUAGGGAUUAAAUUGGGGUGUUGGAGCUUGAUACUCGGAAUAGUUUACCAAAUAUAUGUAUAUAUGUAUGUACAUUCAUGUGUGUAAUGUGCAUGUCUUGUAUCGACAUCAAAAUUAUAUCACUAAUUGGAAGAAAGAUAAGCUUAGCCCAACCAUGCAAACACAGUAUCCAAAGGGAGGAUUAAAUGCCUAUUAAAAUUCAUCAUUGGGGAAAUAGAAUCUUGAAAUGAUCAAAGAAUUCUGACCACAAUUUUCAUUCGAGGACAUAAUGAAUCAAAAUACUCUGAAGCACUAUGCAACAGCUCAAAGGAAUGGAAAAAGGCCUGCAUACUUCAAGACAAAUAGUCUCAGACAUAGGUCCGGAGAAUCAACGUUUAGCCAGGAAAGACUUUGACAUUCAGUCGUUGAUCUUAAUUAUCAUAGAGCAAAUGGAGAUAUCUUCUUGGUCAGGAUCUCUUUUCCUCUCAUUUGCCCAAGUGGGAGAUAUCCAAACCCCAUAAUUCCAAGCAGUUUGUGUCAGGCUUUAUUACACUUCUGAUGAAAAAUAGGUUGUAUUUUAUUGUGGGACAUAUAAAAUGAAAAUAUGCUUAAUAGUCCUUAUCAUGCAUGCAUUUAAUAUGUAAUACUUUGCAUAAAGAAUGAAGUUCUAUCUCUAUUAGCAUUCAACAAAGUUUCAUAUUGAAUUUCCAGGUUUUCCUACUAACUUUAGUCAUUCUUUUUCCAAAUUGUUGUCAAUAUUGAGAAGUUUGAUGUUUCCAUGUGUCUAGAACUCUGAUGUCCAUUUUGUUAUCAAGAUUUAAGACCUUAUGCUUCAAAAUCACUUUGCUUAUGACUGUAUUCCAUCAAUGUGGCAGUAUAUGUUCAGCAAACUCAUGUCAAAUAUAAACAGUACAUGUAGUUCAGAAUCUCCACCAAUCUCUUAAAGAUAAUUAAUUGAUGACCUUGAAGAAUAAAAUUUUACGCUUUUCAAGAUUGGUAAAGAGUAUGUGGUUUUGUGAAAUCUACAUUGCAUAAUUCAGAUUGACAGCAGUACUGCCAGACCCCAACAUAAUUUAACAAAGCUCACAGCAAACAGAAAACAGCAAACAGCAAUUCACAGUGGGUUAGAACAAAAGACUAGGAUGUAAACAAGAAUAAAAUGCCCUGUUUAACAAUAUUUCAGGAUAAAAUUAGAAUAUGGAUUGCAUACCAUAAGCCACAAGCCCUCAGCUUCUGAGAUGGCCACUUUUGUCAAAAUAUUCCUCAGGAGUUCAAAGAUGGACAGCAAAUCAGCCUUGCUUGGAGAAGGACAUUUCCUUGUGACAUAUUUCAUCUCCACUGAAACCCUUAAAAGCCAUAAAUAUACUGCCCCUGAAAAUUUUCCAUUGCAAAACUUUUCUGCCAGCUUUCUGGCUUCAUCCAAUUUCCCAAGUUGCAAGUAGAGUGAAACAUGUUGGCAAGCAAGAUCCUCAGUAAGGCAACCCAUAUUUUCAGCCUUUUCAUACACCAUCAAGAGAUGUGAAAGAGAACCUACUGUAUGUUCAGAGGUACUAAAUGGUUCAGAAUUUUUGGUUUUUUCUCUGGAAACAAUAGCAUCCAUUAGGAACUUUGUGUACAGAUUAAACAUCACUGCUGAAGGCAAAAAUUUUAAAGCCUCCUCAUAAACCUACAUGUAACAGAACAAGCAAGAUUAUCAUUAGAGGGUUCAAGGUACAUGUUGAAGAAAACUUCAAUCUAUGAUUAAAGAUAUUACAAUUGUCAUGUGCAAUCAAACUGUAAACAAUAAAAGAGUAGCGAAAUAAUAUAUAGGAAUCAACAUGCUCCCUUAACAGGAUAACAUGUUCAACAUGAUUAUUUGAAAGGCCCAUAGAUAUGCAUGCAUACAUGGGAUAAUAAAGCUUAUCAAUGCUCAGAUUUACAUCUAAUUGCUCAAUCAACAUGAUUUUAGCAUCCGCUAAAUUGUGUUCAAUGAUUUUCUUGGAGCAGUUAACAUCCAUUUUGAUCAGUAAUCUUCUUAUGCUCAUGAAUGAACGGAUUAUUUUGCAUGAAAUGCCUUGUGGCACAACAACAGGUAUGCAUCAGUGGAAUAAAAUCACAACUAAUAAGAACUAUUAUGCACACAAAAAUUCAUAGUAGGUCACUAGUUCACAUGGAUUCCUACCUGAACUGCCUUUUGCAACCGAGAAGGCACGAUAUCUGUACUUCUUUCUUGUGUGAUUUCAGAAUCAAUAGUUUCAAGUCUUGCGAGCCAGUCCCAGUAUUCUGGUUCUGCUGAAAAAUCUCUUUUCAUGUCACUCAGUAUCUCCUUUUGCAUUUCUUUUGAGCCUGCUAAAUUUAUUGCUUCCAAUAUCUCAAAAAAUUGUGUUCUCAGGCUGAAUCUAGAAGGGAUGGCUUCUACUGCACCACUGUAUAUAGUGCGAAGAAUGCUCAAACCUUGCUCCUGAAACAUAUCUGAUUUCUUCUUUGACUCCUCAUUUUGUCUAUUUGAUACAUCCCUACUCCCUCUUUCUUCAUCCAGGGACAUAAAUAAAUCUUUGUUUUCCUCUCUCCACUGCUUUUCAUCAGCAUCUCUGUGGUCAUUGAUCAGGGUUCCUUCAUCUUCUCCAAGAGCCACCUUUCUAGCUUUUAACUUAUUAAGGUAUGUCAGUUCCAUCCGAAGAUACUCUACCCAAAGAUCUUCUGAAGUUGGGCAUACUCUCAGCCCGCUCUGCAUGAGAGCACGUGCAGCUGUGGCAUUUAAAUUAUGGUCAAACUCCCAAGCUGCAGCAUAAAUCCAAACUCCUGGAACCUUUGGAUGAAACCUAAUUACCUGAGCAAGAACCUGCAAAAAAUUCAAGAGGAAGAAAGAAAAACUAUGAUAUUCCUCCAAUAACAAUUUUAAAAAAGAAAAGAAAAAAACAACAAACCAUUUGAAUCAAACAGAUGGAAAUGAAUCCAUUCUCAAAUUUUGCAUUCUUGUUAUAUAUUGGACCAGAAGCCUCUGUGUCAAAUCUAGAAAUGCCCUUCAGCAUGAUAUUAUUCAGUUUGGAUAUUUGCAAUUUUUUACAUGUUUUGAUUCAACAUUCAACUUGGUCUGGGUAAGAUUGCAGACACCAAGAAUGGAAGCAGGAACAAGACAAUAAUCAACAGCAUGAUAUGGAGCUAAGUUUGGGAUUUCAAGCCUAGGAAAACAGAUACUCCGUCUUUGCAUAUAAAACCAAUCUCUAUAAAGAUAUAGUUGGAUAAUAAUCCGAGAGAGGAUUUACUGAAAAAUGCAAUAUGAUACGGUAGUGCCAUCAAUCUAAGGAUUCUAACCACAGUAUCAAAUGGUCAGCAAAAUUAGCUUUCAUAGGGACCCCAAGACCAACUGAUGGUACAAUUAGUUCAACCUCACAAAGCUUUGACCCUACUGCCUAUUUUAGUGUACAUUUUUCUGAGUUAAAAUUAAUCCACCAUUAGACAUCUCAUAUAAAGCCAAAUUCGAUCAGAAAAGAAGAUAUCAAUUUGAUUGCAGAUAACACAUUUGGCACAAAUUUCUCAUACUAAUAGAAUGACCAGUCCAUUUGGCUGAUAACAAAAUGAAGACAAGAAAAGGAAUCAAACAUCUUCAAAUUUCAUAUUUAAACAAGACAACACAGAUAUAGCACCCAAAAUUGGCUUAGCUUGGAUGCUGAGAAUAUGCAUGGAAAGAAAGAAAAUUAGAAAAUUUGAGCUCCCAAAUUGUCCAUAUUUAAAAUUCCAGGAACCAGAAAGCUCCCCCAUGGCUUAGUUGAACCCAACUAAUUCCUUUUUUUUUUUUUUCCUGAAAAAAACGAAGAACCAGAAUUUGCUAUAUGUCAUCUUAAUUUCUUUCCCUUCGUUUUUUUAGCAACCAAACACAGCAGAAACUUUGAGAAACCAAACCACAAAAAAAAAGAAGAAAAAAGUGAAAAGUUGCAGGGAAAAAGUACAAAAAUCCGAACUUGUAAAUUGUUCAUAUUUUGGAUUGCAUAACCACCAAGUUGCAACUUGAUUUAGUGGAGCUACCUAAUUCAUUUUUCUUUUCUUCUUUCACCUACAACACAUGAAGACUAAGAAUUUGCUAUAUAUUAUUCUCCUUUCUUUUCCAUAAUUUUCUCAGCAACCAAGCAGAGCAGAAAAAGUUAAGAAACCAAACAAUACCUUCUUCAUCCGGCCAUUCCUCCGCUCUCGGCAAAACUCAAGAUACCGAAACCACAGAUCAAUAUCGCCCUUAUACCUCAUCACUGCCAACUGAUAAAUCUCCAAAAUCCUCGAAACGCCGGCGAAAUCAGAGACGGACUUCUUUGUCUUCUUCUUCGCUUCCCGCGCCACCGACUUCUUGCGGAGACGGCGGAGUGAGUCCAGCUGCUUCUCGUACUCGAUAUAGGCCAGAUAGUCUUGCUUGAGCGGACUCGGACGCUUCAGCCUGUACUCAAACUUCCUCCUCUGCUUCACGAUUUCGGCAAUUUCCCGGCGGCUGAAGACGCCUCUUCGCUCGAGGUCAUCGAGCUCGUUGACCAUGCGCUCCAGCCUAUACUGCACUACGUCCGCCAUUGUUGGUUGCUGAGGGCUGACUCAGUGAGUCGACUCAGCGAGGGAGAGAUUCAGAAAGAAGGAAGCAAGUGAAAUUACUCUAGGGCGGGUGAGGGAGGCGUUUGUCAUCUUUGUUUCUGUGUCCCUGUGGUUCAGUGGGCUGGGCUGGGCCGACCUAGUAUGAUGUUGGGCCUGGCCUUAGUGCCCUCGGCCCAUUGAGUUUGAAAUCCAACUUAAGAAUAAGAGUUUAAUUUCAAAAAACUCUGUAAGUAAAAAUAAACUCUUCCCGUUAAAAAAUUUACUUUUUCUUAAAAUAGAUUAUAUUUUAGGGUUAUUUGAUUAAGAAUAUAAAAUAAUCUAUAAAUUUACGAAUCUAACCCUUCACAUAUUUGACCCUACAAAAUGAGUCAUUUUGACAAUACCAUCCAUCUCUUAUAAAAAUUGUUAUCUCUUCUAAAACUUAUAUAAAAAUAAUUCAAAUAUUAAAUGAUAUUUAUAUUAAAAACAAAUUACUUUUUAAAUUCAAAUAUGGGAGGAAUUAUUAUUAUUUUUUAAAUUUAUAUUAUUUCAUCUCUUUUAAUCGAAUAAUCCCAUAUUUUAAUUUCCCUAAAAUUAACCUAGGGCUGAAUGAUUAAUAAUAUAUUUCAAAUUGACCUAAAAUUUAAAAUUAUUAGGUAAUAAUUACUCAAUAAUAAUGCAAAUAAAUGAGUUUUUUUGGCUAAAUAGUCCUUUUAUGAAAUAAAUAAAUAAAUCUAACCACUUUAUCAAACUUAUAUUCAAAAUAGUCAUUUUAUUGCAAGGUACGAAUUAUAUCAUUAAUUAUUUUAAAAAAAAAAAUUUAAAUCUCAAUUGACAAUUGAGUCUUCUUUUUUAAAAAUGAAGUUUCAAUUACGACUUCAUUUUUUAACCUAAAAUCUCGAAUGUCAAUUGAGAUUUCAAUUAAAAAAUAAAACCUUAAUUGUCAAUAAAAUUUCGUUUUUGAAUUAAAGUUUCAAUUGAUAAUUAAGACUUAAUUUUAAAAUUAAAGUCUUAAUUAUUAAUUGAAGCUUCAUUUUUAUGGGAGGAUGAUGAGACCAUUUUGAAUAUAAGUUUUCAAAUGACCUAAAAGCUAUAUUUUUGUGGUCAAAGGGACAAUUUUGAUCCAAAAUUCUAAAUAAAUGGAUAUGAAGAGCUUAUUUGUGAGUGAUUUUAAGAAGUAAUUAAUUAAUAUUUGGAUUAAUGUUUUAUUGGAUAAACAUUAUAAAUAAGAGUGUUAAAGGAGAGAAUUGAACAGGUUCAUGUAUGAAAGUAAAUGAUAAUGAUAAUCAUAUGAUAUAAUAUGAAAUGGGAGCGUUGAUACAUUAUAUAUUUGCCAUAUUGGCUCAUAUUGAAGGCAUAUAUGUAAAUGACAAUAUAUAUAUGACUUAUGAGAGAUGAUGAUGAUGCUGAUGAUGACGGAGGAGUAGUUUAUUAGGGGUGAGUAUUGCCAGUACUAUCUUCCACCCCAUGGCCGCCGCCGCUUCCCAUUCCAAAUCCGAAGCCAAUGCCCAUCCCAAAUCCCAUGCCAAUCCCACCAUUCCCGGCUUCUCUUCCUUCUCUACUACUCGCAUCAAACCCUCCACCUGCACCGAAACCCUCUCCAUGGCCAGACCCUCCACUUGACCCUCCACCACCGCUGCCUCCUCCUCCUCCUCCACCUGUAUCACUACCACCUGCUCCUCCACCAAACCCACUCCCGUGUCCAUACCCUCCACUAGAACCAUACCCACCACUUCCUUCACCUCCACCACCUCCUCCUCCUGCAAAGCCUUGAUUCCCUGUGAAUCCACCUUCAUUACCAGCUCCAAAAGCGGCACCUGCACCAUAUCCACUACCAUGUCCAAAACCAACUCCAUCUGUGUUGUUGCUGCCACCANNNNNNNNNNNNNNNNNNNNNNNNNNNNNNNNNNNNNNNNNNNNNNNNNNNNNNNNNNNNNNNNNNNNNNNNNNNNNNNNNNNNNNNNNNNNNNNNNNNNACCUCCACCGCCAAAGCCUCCCCCACCACCACUCUUGCCCCCUCCAGAACCAUGUCCUUCCCCAUGCCCAUCUCCCCCACCAUCUCCUCCUCCUCCUCCACCGCCACCACCACCACCACCACCCCCUGCACCAACCCCUCUACCACCUUGGCCAUAGAAACUUCCACAGCCCCUCCAACCCCGGCAAUAAUCAUCAUUGAACCUCCAACCAUUUGGGCCUCCAAAGCGGCCCUCAUCCUCCUCCUCCCCAUAACCAUUUACUUCAUCACUCAACCCAAUAACAACGCUCAAAAGAAGAAGAGCUCUACACACAAACUUAGCACAAGUACCCAUGUUCUCCACUUGCUUCAUGUCCUCCUCUCCAUGCCCUCUUCUUAUAUAAACCCGCAACCACACUCAUAUCAUCUCUCUCAGUUACUGGCGUAAGUUCAAUACUACAGUGUUCUACGUUAAACAGUCAUGAAUAAGCAAUGAUAUGAAUGACAAGUCUUAAGUCUACGUACAUGGUAAUAUCAUAAUCUGGUCAACCUUCGCCGACAAAAACACCAUUAAAAAACCAUCAAAACCCAAAAUGAUUGCGAACAGUCGAAAACUACUAGAGAAUUCUUUACAAUAAUAAUCAACAAGAGAUGGUGGAGUUGGUGAUCAUGAUUCUAGAUCCAUGACAUACCCAAGAGUGGGGGGGGAGAGGCCCAUUACACUACACAAAAAAACAAUCAAAAUGUGCUACAAAUCCAUGUCUUAUUUUGUUCAUUUAUGGAGUCUCGUCUGUCAUUUUGAUUAUAGAAUUGGAUCCUCAGGAGUUGUGGAAGCCACCACAGAAUGUCCAUUUGCAGCUAGCAUGACAUGUGGCUAGCUAUUCACUUAAUUUCAGAAAGCAAUCUACUUAGUAUUAUUUUGUUGCUUUGUUCCGGUGUUUUCCAUGGCUAUCAGCAUACAAAAUAUAUACGUUUCUUACCCGUAAUAUUCUGCAUGCCACCAUUUCGAUUAGCACACCAACUAAGCAAGUGGAAUGGAGUAUCGUAAUAUUGGGGCCAACCCUCAAAUCACACCUACCACCACAUUGGAUUGUCAAGGCCCCUCUAAUCAUAAAAUUUUAUAUGUAAUCAUCAGUACUAGAGAGGACAGUUGCACUCUGGUUUUGUGUUAACCCAAUCCCACACACCAAUACUUAAGAAUCUAUUAACCAUAUCAAAUGAAGAUGAAAAGUUAUAGUGGUAAAAACUGUCGCUCCUCUCAAUUGCAGUCAUACACUUUUUUUUCUUUUUAAUAUGAAGACGAUAAAAUAUACUAGGACAAACUCAUUAUUCAAAUCCAACAUCCCUGUAUAGUACGACAAAACUAUUCAGGCUUUACAAUCCAACAUUUUACACCAUGCAAUCCUGUCAUAUCCAACCACCUAAGAGAUGGAUGAUAUAUUAAUCUAUUUGAUUCUUGAGCCCCAAUCUCGUUCCCUACUGUAACAAAGACAAGUCCUAUAUAUCAAGGUUCGAAUUAUUUACUGUACCGUUACCUGGAUGGCGGGGACCAUGACACUUACUGCCUCUUGUAGCUAUAUAUCUAAGAAAUUAGAUCUCCUUCAUUAAGGUAUUCAUCAAUGCUAGACCCAAUUAAUGUCCUUUUUCUUUGUCCGGGAGAAGGACAUGGCUCCUUUUCUGCUGUAGGAAAUGGAAAAUUUUCUUCUUACCAUGAUUAUUGAGUUUGAUAUAAAUGAAAUUAACUAAAUUUCUUUCAUGGCAGAAUUUGUCUGCUCCACUUGUGUUUGUAAUAUUCAUUUGUUUUGUUAAGCUAUCUAGAUUCUCUUCAUCCAAACACGCAAUUAACUAAAAGGCACCAUCAACAUAUGAAAGAAAGAAAUGCAAGCCAAAAACUGCAUCAGCAAAAUUGUUUCUUCUCGUAAUAAUACUGUCAAAAUUAAUCAUUUAUCCUUCAUUGAACCUAACCAGAGAGCUGGGUACAUCAUUAACCUUCUAAUCAGCUGGUACUAAGUAACCACUCCCACUUAAGCAUUCUAGAUCCUUUUAUUUGAGUUUUAAAAUCUCCAAGUGGGGAAUAUAUAUAGCUUAGUUCCAUGUGGCUAAGAAUAGCUGUUCAUAUAUAUGGUGUACUUGUGGGAAUUUCAACAGGUAGUAUUAAGUGAUCAUAUUGAUGUAGGCAUGAAAACAUGGAAUCAUAGACAUGUGCACUGCCCCUCAAGCCUGAUUUUUGAUUGUUUGUGUAUUGUUACAUCAAGGAGGAGAGUAAAUAUUUUAUUCUAAAAUUGAAGAGUCGUAUAAUUAAAUGUCUUGGGUCCCUUUCCUAAAAUAUUUAUGUCUAUCAGAUGUAUGAGAGAGAAAUUGACCUAAUUUAUUAAGCUUCCUCAUGGUCUUGCUUGGCUGUCCAGCAAAAAAUUGGCUGUGGCGCCCCUUACUCCUUUCUAUAUUUAUCAAAAAUUAAUGCCAAGAAAGCGAUGAUCUGUUCUUAGCCAAAUAUUCAACCCUUUCAGACCCUUUCACCACCUCCACCAAGCUUGCUCUAGUUUGUGAAACGUCUAACAUUAAUUCUUAGGUUCUUCAUGCAAUUGUUGUUCAUUAUAUCUCAUCUUCUUUCAUAUUUUAUUCUUUGUUACUAAUCAAAUUCCUUUUUAGUUUUUCAUUCCAGGCUACUUUUUGAAAUUAAUCCAGAUGAAGUGUUCAGUUACAGAAAAUUAAUUUUGAAGUAGAGAUUGGGUAAAUUGUUGAAGCUUAUUACAAGGAGAUUCAUGACAAGAAACACCAUAUUUAUUAAUCAAACAACCCAACUGCUAAGCAGAAGGGGUCCAAUACAUCAUCGGCCAUUACUUAAUUGGGUCACAACUGCAUGUUAUGUAUACACACACCAUAAUCUCAUGCAUUUUCUCAUGGCUAGUCUCAUCAUUUAUUCAGUCCCUAUACUGCUACUCAAGGUACAUAUAUAAGAAUAAUAGGAGAGAAGAAUUUAUUUCAACAUUCCCAUACGUAACAGAACCAAACAGUACUGGACACAAUGAACAAACAUCAUCAUAGUAAAGAACUUGCAAGAGACUCCUAACUUCAGCACAAUGUUGAUUGAUAAACUAGCAUCAUAUAUAGGUUGGAGACAAAUUAAGAUUGUGAACUUUCAAGGCAGUCCACCUCCAACACCUCCACCAAACCCUCCUCCUCCUCCUUUGCCAAGCCCACCCCCAGCUCCACCUCCAAAACCAGAUCCACCACCUAGUCCACCACCACCACCUAGUCCUCCACCACCGCCCCCACCAAAUCCUCCACCACCACCAAAUCCAGCUCCCCCGCCUUUGCCUACACCCCCACCAAAGCCCACACCCCCACCGCCCCCAAUGCCGCCACCGCAGCCAGGAAGCUUGUGGAAGAAUAUCUUCUGCUCAACAAGAUCACCCUUCCCCCUCACAAGCCUCCUAGCAUCAAUGGUGCAAAUAAGUACUGCACCAAGAAGCACUAGAACAGCUACACACUUAGUAUUCAUCAGUGUACAUAUAAGAAAAUAUACAACUGAUAAAACUUUUCUGGUAUGAUAAGUGGCAUUCAGAAGUAGAGAAUAUAUAGAGGUUUGAGAAUUAAAAACCGAAGAAGGAAGCAGUUGAGAAGAAUUUAAAUUUACUCUACAAUCCGUGCUUGGACAGUUAAUACAGCCAACUGCCUCUACGCAAAAGGAGACCCACCCCAUUUCGAUGAUCAACCACCACCUCAAGGUUGUCAAUUGCAUUUUCAGUACUUAAGAAUAUCUUUCUAAAUUUUUUCACUCAAACAUUAAUUCUUCUCCACCAUUUUUCUAUAAAAUUGAUGUAAGAGUAAAACUGAUGAACCCUAAUUGGGUGCAUUAAUCACUUCGAUACAUUGUAGGCGAGGUUGUUGCAGGAAAGACAUAUGAAUAAAUACAAGAAGGGCCUAGUGGCAGCCAUAUUUUCACAGGAUGAAAGAAAAAGUUGGACCACCUUGCCAUGGCCACAAUUCAACUUUUGGAAAGUAAUUAAUUCUCUUUUUUGCUGUUUGAUGGAUGUGACACUCUAUAUGUAGGAAUCCCUUCUUCUUUUUUUCUUAUGUUUAAUCUCCAUCUUUUUUGCUAUAUAUUCCAAUGGGGCUAGGAACUACUUAGUAAUAAAAAUUAUCAACCAUGUGAAACAUUUCAUUAAUGAACUCUUUAUAAUCACCAAAACUUCAUGAAUUAAUCCAGACCCUCCUUAGGUUCUGUCAGAUGUGGGGUUCAUGCUAUUAAUUAAUUUCUAUCUUCAAUUCAUAUAUGGUGAAGGUACAAUGUCGAAGUUACCGACAUUUUGGGUGGCGUAGUGAAGAUUCAAUCUGACUCCAGUUGAAUCUCAUAACGAUAUGAUCAUUAAACUCUUUCUGUGCACAUCCUUUUUGAUCCCGGCAUUUCAAUGCAGUUAUGGCAGUGAAAUUCCUGCCUAUUCAUUUCAUUUACCUACCAGUAUACAUGUAUGUUGGGAGAGCAAUUGAUCCACACAAACCAGCCAUAACAAAGAAAAAUAAAAAAGAGAAGUUUCAUAUUUAUAUAUAUACUAACAACAUAUGGUUCACCAAUUUCAAUUUGUUCCACAUUUCAGACCAAAACCAUACAAAUUGUUAGAAAAAAAAGAAAAAGAAAAAGAAAAAAGGAGCAUUCCAUCUGGUUGGAAUAAAUUAAAACCCCAUAGAUGAUCAGCUGGACAGAGCUCAAAACUCAGCUCAAUAAUAUGUGCUGCCCAUUGAUGAUUAUUGUCAAGCUUUCUAAAUUGUGAGUAUGGUGGUUAUGCAUGUCAUCAUGUUAUCCAAGAGUCAGCUCAAGAGAGAUACCAUUCUCAUCUUUAUCAUUCCCAUCAGCCUUCUUCUCUGCAGCCUUGGACGAAUCUCCAUAUCUAUAAUCACCAUUACUACCCUUGCACCCCAAAACAUCCGCCCAGGCCUUCCCCUUCGCUUUGCUCUCCUGAAACAAUAUGUAUAUGGUUUGUAAUCAAGGGUUUUGGAAGGAACUAUAUAUAGAGUCCAGGGAAUGAGAUAGAAAUUUACUUGGGAAGCUUUGGAACUCUUGAGAAGAUCAUUGAACAUUAUGUAAGAACUUAGCUUCAGUUGCAUCCCUUUCCCUGCCUCCUGUCGAUAUGGUAGUGACUGAUCAUGACCCAUCACGCUAGUUCCAACCCCAGUCUCUUGCUUCUUCUCCCUACAAAAUUCCAUCCAAAUAUAAAGAGAGAGAGAAGGAAAAUACAGUCUCUUGCUUCUUCUCCCUACAAAAUUCCAUCCAAAUAUAAAGAGAGAGAUAGAGAGAGAAGGAAAAUCCACAAACCAUUGUGGUGGGAUGGUCGGAUUAUUGAGAGCAAGGCCUCGCAUAUAACCAGUUCCAUGACUUUGAUAUGGGAAUCCAUUGUUAUUCAUCCAUCCAUUUUCCACACGAUAAUGAUUAGGACACAAGUAAUUUCUCCCUGAGUUGACCAGCAUCUCUUCAUUUAUCUUCGCUGCCUCACCCGCUUCUGCAAUAAGAAAAUUAUAAUCUUCCAAGUGAUAAUAUACAUCAAAUUUUUUAACUAGAAAAAGGGUAAAAUAAGACCCUUCAUGAAGAGAAUUAAUUCAGUGACAGGCCUCUUAAUUUAUAUUCUUCAUAAAUAGACAAUUAUUAAAAUCAAUUAAUGGAAAUAAUUAUUAUUCAUUUAAUGCAUUCAUUGAUGAUACAUAAAAGAGAAGGGGAUGGUAUGAAGCAUUUAGUUGGCAACAAUAUCUAAAAUAUUAAUUUUUCUAGUAAAAAUAAAUAAAAUAAAAAGUUCUAGUAAAAAAAUAAAAAAAAAUUAAAACAUUGAAACCCUACAAUGGAGAGGGUGGCCAUGGAUUAAUAAUGUAGAUGUAAUACCUUGAACAAUUUGCUCAUGCUUCAUGCUUCUGUACAUCUGUCCAUUAGAAAAAAUAAAGCUUUUAGACAACUAUAUAGUGUGUAUGAAGAAAACCCCAAACUUGGAAGUGAUAAUUUUAACAAGGGAAAGAUUGUUCCUAACCUGAAGAUGACUCUUAAUGUGAGAUAUGGAAAGACCUUUUACAUCCAUGAUUUGUAAAAUCAUCUUGGGAGUAGCUCCUAAAAAUCGAUACCCAUAAUUAAAAUGACAUUUUAAAAAAAAAAAUUAGAUGGGUAAAAUUAAUGAACCAUUUCAAGAGGUGAUGGAUUUUCUUUCUUAGAUAGAAUUAUCAUAACAACGAUAGGGUUGAUGUUUNNNNNNNNNNNNNNNNNNNNNNNNNNNNNNNNNNNNNNNNNNNNNNNNNNNNNNNNNNNNNNNNNNNNNNNNNNNNNNNNNNNNNNNNNNNNNNNNNNNNUUAAAAAAUUAUUACAUUUUUUUUCGGAAAAAAAAAAAGGAAAAGAAAAAAAAAAGGGCCUAAUCACACACCCGAAAGGGGGCCAAAAGGAACUAAAAAGAUGACAUAACGAAUGCAAGUCCCAGAGGAAACAUACCAAAAAUUCCUCCAAAUUCAUACGUCCUCAUUCCGAAGACCAAAGCUCCUCUUAUUCCGCCUAGACUUUUUCCUCGAAAGAACACAAUCGAGACUUCAAAACAUGCCUACUCUCAUUCCCAUUCAGUCUUCCUCCUACGCCCACUCCCUCCCUGACAUAUGCCGACACGUACGCCAACUCGACAUGCGCUCUCGACACGUCCACUGGUGGGUAAUGGGUGCAUGUUGAGUGGGCGUGAAGUAUGGAUGGUAUUCGGAUCGAGAAGAGCCAAAAUGGCUGAAAUCAGGUCUGGGUGUCGGGAUGUGGGGGAUGAGGCAUCUGCAGAGAGAGAGAGAGAGAGAGAGUGUAAAAACUGCAGUGCAGAAGUGGUUUAGGGGUGGGGGAGGGAAUAUUAUGUGGAGGGAUAGCUAGAAGUGUGGACAGGUGUGGAGGAUGGCGUAAGAUGGAAUAAUGGGGACGAGAGGAUGAAGGGAACUGUCUGAAUAUUGUGGAUGCUCAUCCGUUUCUUUUACCGGCCCUGCCUGUGUCCCAUGGGGUAUGGCCAAAAUUGCUUUGCUUUUGCAUUCAUUGCUCAAUUACUCUUCACCAGUUUCUAUUAGUUUUAUGAUUGCAGGCUGAGAUGGACUCUCUGGUUCAUGGGAGUUGGCCGCCAUGGUUGAAAAUUCUUUAGCUACGUACAAAUAUCAUUGAAAGCAUCUUUUAGAAUAUAAGGUGUUGUUUGGACAAUAUUGGCAUUUGGGUUGGGUUGUAUAACUCAUCCAUAUACUCUUGUAUAAAGUUUCAAAAGAAACUAAUAGAAAAAAUCACUUCGGUUGCCAAAUGCACCAAGCUUUUGCAUGGUAUUAAAGUAGCAAGAUGUUGGAAAAAAAAUAAUAAUCAAAUUUAUAUCAACAAUCAAUAAUAAGAUGAUUUGAUUUUCCAUAUGGUGGGCAAGUUACUUUACUACCAUAUAAAGCUAAUUGGUCGAUGAUGUAGUUGUAUGUUGUUCAUCUUUCUUUGUUAUUUGACUGUUUAGGUGAUUGUGGUCAUAAUUAUUAUGCUCAGUAGGUGUGAAUGAAUCCUCUUCCCUUGAGUUGAAAUUUCCUUUGUUUUUUUUUUACCAUGAUCUCAUUGUACAAAGAAAUAAGCUUUGUGUAUGCUUUUAAAAUGUCCUCUCCUCCUUUUGGAAAAAAUUGUAAGUGAUUGGUCAUGUGCUUAAAGACUUAGUAUGAAUAGACGAAAGGAUACGACGGUUUAAUAAACAUAGCAAAUAAAAAAAAAAUUAUAUUUUAUCUUAAACCAUGAGGUUAUGUUUGAUUGGUGGGAUAGGAUAUGAUAUGUAUAUCUUAAGAUAUCAUAUUCAUUAGGAUAUGAUAUGCAUAUUUUAGGAUAUGAUUUUCAAUGGGAUAUGAUAUCUUUGGAUAUAUAUAUCUUAUGAACAUGAUAUUUUAAGGUAGCAUAUUCAAUUAGAUAUGUUGUAUUAUAUUUAUAUUUAAUUUAUGAAAUAAAAAAAAUAUGCAAUAUAUAUUAUUUUCAAUGUUUAAAAUAAAAAUUAUAUCAUAUUCAAAUAUUUUCUAUUUAAAAAAAUGAAAUUUCACUUAUAUUUAAUAUAUAUAUAAAUAAUUUAUAUAUCAUAUAUUUUUUUAUAUAUAAAUAUUUUUUUAGUUUUUCUUUUUUAAUUAUAUAUUUAAUUUAUAACAAAAAAAUUAUUUUAUAAAAUGAGUAUAUUAAAAAACAAAAAAUUAAUAAAAACAAAUAAAUUUUUGAUACAUGGAAUGCGUAUAUCCUAUAUAUCUUACCAUGGGAUUAACAUAUUCACUGGAUACAUUAUCCACUAUUUUUUUUCAUCAUUUUCGUAUAAGAUGGGAUAUCAUAUCCCCUCUCUUAUCAUAUCUCAUAUUAUAUCUGACCAACCAAAUAUAGCUUGAGUGAAUUUGAAAAUUUUGUUUUGAUCUAAAGUUAGUUUUUCAAUUUAUAUGAUGAAAUUAUCACAUAUUUUUUUUGAAGUUCUUCAAAAAAAUCUUCAAGAGACUGUGACCCCUUUUAAGAGCCAUCCACAUAAUUUUUUUGGAUUUUUUUUUUCUAUUUUUACUAUAAUAAGAAGCAAUUGUUCUUCAAGAAAAGUACAUUCCUCAUGUCACUUUAAUACUAAAGAUAAUUUGAUUUUUCACACAUUUGAUAAGUUAUUUUACUAUUGUUAUUAAAACUAUUUGAAUGUUAUUGAUGAUGUUUUUCUUUUGGUUGAAUUGUUAUUGCUUUGAAGAUUAUGAUUACCAUUAUACUGCUAUGAGGAUUAUGAUUACCAUUAUAGUGCCUAGCAAGUAUGAAUUCUCUUUCCUUCGAAUUGCCAUUUCUUUUGCCCCCUCGAUCAUUUAUUUUUUCGACUAUGACAUUGAUGUUCAAAGAAAACUUGAACAUGAUCUAAAAAUGUAGUGAAUGAUUGUUCAUGUCCUUAAAGAGUUAAUAUUAGUUUAUUGAUGGAAUUAUAGGGUUAUAUAUAUAUAGCCAUUAUUGAAUAAUUCCUUUUUUGUGAGUUUCAAAUGGAAUCAACAUAAUUUACAAUUUAUGCAUUUUCAUGGUUUACAAUAUUAAUUAAAAUAAUUUUUUUAUUUUUGAAUAAACUAUUUGGCCAAUCAAUUCACCCUUCUUAUUUUACCAUGAAUCUGAGUUAUAUAUUAUUAUAAUUUUAAAACGUUAUAAUUAUUAUUUAUUGGAAGUCAAGUAGAAUGAGGUGAUUAAGAGGUACAUUGGAUAACGUAUUUUAAUAGAAUGUUUCGUAGUAUNNNNNNNNNNNNNNNNNNNNNNNNNNNNNNNNNNNNNNNNNNNNNNNNNNNNNNNNNNNNNNNNNNNNNNNNNNNNNNNNNNNNNNNNNNNNNNNNNNNNAAUUAAUCAAAAACAUACUUGGUUUUUUUAUCGUACUGAAUUGAACUGAACUUAAACCAGUGGAUUAUUGUGUUCAUGAACCAAACCGAAUCAAUCGGUUGUCUUUAAAUUUUAUCAAUUCAAUUCAAACUAACCUCAACUAGAUUUUAAUCAAAACUGAACCCAACCAUACAUACCCUUAAUUAAAAUAUAACCAAAAAUCCAUCCAAAAAAAAUCAUCAAAUAAUGAUCUUUUCUUUUCUACGUGGACGAAAAAUUAGUUGAUAAUGGAUUCAAUCAGAGAACUACAUAGAAAUGGGGAACUCUUGGCACAAAAAUAGACUAAACUCAAUGCUCAAGUUGAGCACUUACAAUGGGGUAAACUCUCAUCUUAGCUCUCACCCUGCAACCAUGUCACCCUCUUGUGACAAUCCGGGGUCUGGCUGGUUUCAAAGAGGUCGGGUGUGGCGGCCUGAUGCCCGGCCACAGAGAAGAGCAUUCUUUGGGAUUGGUAAUUCAUCUCUCCAUGAAUUUGCUGGGGAGAAAACCCUAAGAUAGAACUGCUGUCCCAGGUACUGCCUAGCCCAGUUUUCAGACCUUACAUUCCACAUACCUACAUUGUCCAGAGCCAUGUAGAUUGCAGUCCAUGCCUUGGGAUAAACCUGGCCCCAAUCAAAGACAUCAAUGAAGUACUGCUCUACACUACAAUGGAGUUGAAAAAUACUCAGGUUUUUUUUAUACCUGAACAGUGCAACGAGCAACCGUGUCUCUCAGAUUGUAGCUUGCUCUACUUGCAGGCGUCCACUGCCCUCCAUCCAUUCUGAUAAUCCCCAAAAAUUGCAGUAUCUUUAGAAGGACAGAAACAAAAUCAUACAUAGGAUCAGGCAAGAAGAAGCUUACCCCAUGACAAAAAAGGAAUAGCCAUCAAUGUGCCAUGACUGGACAAUGNNNNNNNNNNNNNNNNNNNNNNNNNNNNNNNNNNNNNNNNNNNNNNNNNNNNNNNNNNNNNNNNNNNNNNNNNNNNNNNNNNNNNNNNNNNNNNNNNNNNUGGAUGCUCAUCCGUUUCUUUUACCGGCCCUGCCUGUGUCCCAUGGGGUAUGGCCAAAAUUGCUUUGCUUUUGCAUUCAUUGCUCAAUUACUCUUCACCAGUUUCUAUUAGUUUUAUGAUUGAAGGUUGAGAUGGACUCUCUGGUUCAUGGGAGUUGGCCGCCAUGGUUGAAAAUUCUUUAGCUACGUACAAAUAUCAUUGAAAGCAUCUUUUAGAAUAUAAGGUGUUGUUUGGACAAUAUUGGCAUUUGGGUUGGGUUGUAUAACUCAUCCAUAUACUCUUGUAUAAAGUUUCAAAAGAAACUAAUAGAAAAAAUCACUUCGGUUGCCAAAUGCACCAAGCUUUUGCAUGGUAUUAAAGUAGCAAGAGGUUGGAAAAAAAUAAUAAUCCAAUUUAUAUCAACAAUCAAUAAUAAGAUGAUUUGAUUUUCCAUAUGGUGGGCAAGUUACUUUACUACCAUAUAAAGCUAAUUGGUCGAUGAUGUAGUUGUAUGUUGUUCAUCUUUCUUUGUUAUUUGACUGUUUAGGUGAUUGUGGUCAUAAUCAUUAUGCUCAGUAGGUGUGAAUGAAUCCUCUUCCCUUGAGUUGAAAUUUCCUUUGUUUUUUUUACCAUUUUUACCAUGAUCUCAUUGUACAAAGAAAUAAGCUUUGUGUAUGCUUUUAAAAUGUCCUCUCCUCCUUUUGGAAAAAAUUGUAAGUGAUUGGUCAUGUGCUUAAAGACUUAGUAUGAAUAGACGAAAGGAUACGACAGUUUAAUAAACAUAGCAAAUAAAAAAAAAAUUAUAUUUUAUCUUAAACCAUGAGGUUACGUUUGAUUGGUGGGAUAGGAUAUGAUAUGUAUAUCUUAGGAUAUCAUAUUCAUUAGGAUAUGAUAUGCAUAUUUUAGGAUAUAAUUUUUAAUAGGAUAUGAUAUCUUUGGAUAUAUAUAUCUUAUGAACAUGAUAUUUUAAGGUAGAAUAUUCAAUUAGAUAUGUUGUAUUAUAUUUAUAUUUAAUUUAUGAAAUAAAUAACAAAAUAAUAUGAAAUAUAUAUUAUUUUCAAUGUUUAAAAUAAAAAUUAUAUCAUAUUCAAAUAUUUUCUAUUUAAAAAAAUGAAAUUUCACUUAUAUUUAAUAUAUAAAAAUAAUUUAUAUAUCAUAUAUUUUUUUUAUAUAUAAAUAUUUUUUUAGUUUUUCUUUUUUAAUUAUGUAUUUAAUUUAUAACAAAAAAAAUUAUUUUAUAAAAUGAGUAUAUUAAAAAACAAAAAAUUAGUAUAAAUAAAUAAAUUUUUGAUACAUGGAAUACGUAUAUCCUAUAUCUUACCAUGGGAUUAACAUAUUCUAUGUGAAAGUGAUGAAAAAAAAUGGUGGAUAAUAUAUUUCAUCACUUAUUCUAUCCAAUAUUUGAUUGAACAUAGGAUAGGAAAAGUGAUGGGAUACAUUAUCCACUAUUUUUUUUCAUUAUUUUCAUAUAAGAUGGGAUAUCAUAUCCCCUCUCUUAUCAUAUCUCAUGUUAUAUCUGACCAACCAAAUAUAGCUUGAGUGAAUUUGAAAAUUUUGUUUUGAUCUAAAGUUAGUUUUUCAAUUUAUACGAUGAAAUUAUCACAUAUUUUUUUGAAGUUCUUCAAAAAAUUCUUCAAGAGACUGUGACCCAUUUUAAGAGCCAUCCACAUAAUUUUUUUGGAUUUUUUUUUCUAUUUUUACUAUAAUAAGAAGCAAUUGUUCUUCAAGAAAAGUACAUUCCUCAUGUCACUUUAAUACUAAAGAUAAUUUGAUUUUUCACACAUUUGAUAAGUUAUUUUACUAUUGUUAUUAAAACUAUUUGAAUGUUAUUGAUGAUGUUUUUCUUUUGGUUGAAUUGUUAUUGCUUUGAAGAUUAUGAUUACCAUUAUACUGCUCUGAGGAUUAUGAUUACCAUUAUAGUGCCUAGCAAGUAUGAAUUCUCUUUCCCUCGAAUUGACACUUCUUUUGCCCCCUCGAUCAUUUUUUCGACUAUGACAUUGAUGUUCAAAGAAAACUUGAGCAUGAUCUAAAAAUGUAGUGAAUGUUUGUUCAUGUCCAUAAAGAAUUAAUAUUAGUUUAUUGAUGGAAUUAUAGGGUUAUAUAUAUAUAUCCAUUAUCGAAUAAUUCCUUUUUUGUGAGUUUCAAAUGGAAUCAACAUAAUUUACAAUUUAUGCAUUUUCAUGGUUUACAAUAUUAAUUAAAAUAAUUUUUUUUUUAUUUUUGAAUAAACUAUUUGGCCAAUCAAUUCACCCUUCUUAUUUUACCAUGAAUCUAGUUAUAUAUUAUUAUAAUUUUAAAACUUAUAAUUAUUAUUUAUUGGAAGUCAAGAAGAAUGAGUGAUUAAGAGUGCAUUAGAUAACGAUUUUAAUAAAUGUUUCUAGUAUUUUCAACAUUGAAAUUUUUGAUUUUUAAGUAUUAAAAAUAUCAAAAGCGUUACUUAAAAUUACCACCAAACUCACUUUUAAGCUCUUUCCCAGAUAUCUCAAAUCAAUCAAAAACAUACUUGGUUUUUUUAUCGUACUGAAUUGAAUUGAACUUAAACCAAUUUAAUGGAUUAUUGUGUUCAUGAACCAAACCGAAUCAAUCGGUUGUGUCUUUAAAUUUUAUCAGUUCAAUUCAAACUAACCUCAACUAGAUUUUAAUCAAAACUGAACCCAGCCAUACAUACCCAUAAUUAAAAUAUAACCAAAAAUCCAUCCAAAAAAAAUCAACAAAUAAUGCUCUUUUCUUUUCUACGUGGACGAAAAAUUAGUUGAUAAUGGAUUCAAUCAGAGAACUACAUAGAAAUGGGGAACUCUUGGCACAAAAAUAGACUAAACUCAAUGCUCAAGUUGAGCACUUACAAUGGGGUAAACUCUCAUCUUAGCUCACACCCUGCAACCAUGUCACCCUCUUGUGACAAUCCGGGGUCUGCUGGUUUCAAAGAGGUCGGGUGUGGCGGCCUGAUGCCCGGCCACAGAGAAGAGCAUUCUUUGGGAUUGGUAAUUCAUCUCUCCAUGAAUUUGCUGGGGAGAAAACCCUAAGAUAGAACUGCUGUCCCAGGUACUGCCUAGCCCAGUUUUCAGACCUUACAUUCCACAUACCUACAUUGUCCAGAGCCAUGUAGAUUGCAGUCCAUGCCUUGGGAUAAACCUGGCCCCAAUCAAAGACAUCAAUGAAGUACUGCUCUACACUAAAAUGGAGUU
rnacentral:lncRNA from 1 species